CUCACUUGAGCCCAUUCAUCUACUGAAUGAAUCAUCAGAAAAGUUAUCGAGGAAAAAAAAUCUGAAGCUUUUACAUUUUUAUUCAAAUUUUGCUGGUAAGUUUUCCUCUUUGUCAUGGUUGCUAAAGGAAACUCUGAUGGGAAUGAAGGGUCAGAUCCAUGUCUUUUUAAAUAACAUUGAAAAAUACUAUUAGAAAUACUGUACAUAUAUAUUUAAAUAGUGUGUGGGAGCCAUAAUAUAUUUGUUGAAAGUAUGAUCUUUAAUUGGUACGUCACUUCUGGGGAUCGACACUGAGGGGUGUGGUUUUGGGAUGUUUGGCGGGUUGUUUAAAUCUCACGGGUGUUGUCCGACAAUGGGUUGUGGAAAGCUCUAAUAAUUUUCUGUUGAUCGUUUCACUCAUCCUGUUUUAACCUCAUUUCAUCGUAUCACUUUUUCAUUCGAAGGCAAAAGUUUUGGACCUGGAUCAGUGUGUUUUCUUUUCUUCUUUUUGGAACAAUAAAACACUUUUUUAACACUCAAACUGGACUGAUGCAAGCGCACCUAAACCCCAGCGGCCUUUUUGUUGAUGGGAAGAAGUUGCUACACAGCAGGUAAGGCAAAAAGCAAGAGCAGUUUACAGAGAGGGCAACACAUAUUAUAUUUAACCUGCUCAUUUAUCCUCCCUGGGCUGUGACGUCUGGCCUCCACCUUGUUAAACAAUCUCCACUGCCCAGGAAUAUUUGGAUGGUUUUUCAACAGCAUCUUCAUCACAAUCUAAUUAAAAAGAUCUUUUUAGCCAACAAAAGUUACUCAAACCUUUUGAAAAUGUCAGCUGGAAACACUUGAAAUUGUUCCCUGUACGUGCCAUUAUGAAAAGUACCACUGAAAUAAGGAAACUCUCUAUGUGAAGUAACAUAAGAAUAAGCUUUAUUACUGCUGUGACUGUCAGGAUAAGAGGCAGGUAGCAUGACUCACCGGACACAAGGUUACAUCAAAAUCUGGCCUAGUUUCCUUGUCACGAUGACUUAUCUGCGUCAAGCUUUGUUCAGAUAUUUAUCUUUCAACAAUAGAAAAGCACAUUCAGCUGACACUAAAAUCCUCCUCAAGUUCGUACCUUUGAAUGAGGAGUUUUCUUCUUCUUCUUCUUUCGGGACAGGAGGGAUCCAUUUGACUUGUGAAGGAGAUAACAACGCCUCCAUUUUUCUUAUUUAGGAUGCACCUUGUUACAACAACAAUCCCUCUGAUCAGUCCAAAUGUUUGGCUGUGCCCACAUUUCGUUGCCAAUGCCAAACCACCUGCCACAAUGCAACACUGACUCAUCAGGCCCGCCUACACUCUUUUGAGAAUCCACAAGGUAACCUCCUUUUUCUAUCUAAUCAUCGUGUACUGUUCCUCCUACAGUAUUUCACCAUGGCUCCGCAGUCAUAUACAGGCUGAAAAGAUUAUGGGGCUGCAAAUAGAAAAACUGUCAAGGCCAGAAGGGCAGCUUUACAACAG